AUACUCUGGUUUCUCUUCACAUCGAAUAAAUCUUUCGCCUUUUUCUAAGGAUUUCCAUGGAGAGGAACAUCCAUGAGUUUUUAAUAAUUUUUUAAUCCAACUUCUUUUUUAUUGAGAAUU